rnacentral:rRNA from 1 species
UACGUAGGGGGCAAGCGUUGUCCGGAAUCAUUGGGCGUAAAGAGCGUGUAGGCGGUCCGGUAAGUCGGCUGUGAAAGUCCAGGGCUCAACCCUGGGAUGCCGGUCGAUACUGCCGGACUAGAGUUCGGAAGAGGCGAGUGGAAUUCCCCGGUGUAGCGGUGAAAUGCGCAGAUAUCGGGGAGGAACACCUAUGGCGAAGGCAGCUCGCUGGGACGUUACUGACGCUGAGACGCGAAAGCGUGGGGAGCAAACAGG